UACGUAGGGUGCGAGCGUUAAUCGGAAUUACUGGGCGUAAAGCGUGCGCAGGCGGUUUUGUAAGUCAGACGUGAAAUCCCUCGGCUUAACCGGGGAACUGCGUCUGAUACUGGAUGGCUUGAGUUUGGGAGAGGGAUGCGGAAUUCCAGGUGUAGCGGUGAAAUGCGUAGAUAUCUGGAGGAACACCGGUGGCGAAGGCGGCAUCCUGGACCAACACUGACGCUGAGGAGCGAAAGCCAGGGGAGCAAACGGG
rnacentral:rRNA from 1 species